UGAACGCUAGCUACAGGCUUAACACAUGCAAGUCGAGGGGCAGCAUUUUAGUUUUGCUUGCAAACUGAAGAUGGCGACCGGCGCACGGGUGAGUAACACGUAUCCAACCUGCCGAUAACUCCGGAAUAGCCUUUCGAAAGAAAGAUUAAUACCGGAUAGCAUACGAAUAUCGCAUGAUAUUUUUAUUAAAGAAUUUCGGUUAUCGAUGGGGAUGCGUUCCAUUAGUUUGUUGGCGGGGUAACGGCCCACCAAGACUACGAUGGAUAGGGGUUCUGAGAGGAAGGUCCCCCACAUUGGAACUGAGACACGGUCCAAACUCCUACGGGAGGCAGCAGUGAGGAAUAUUGGUCAAUGGGCGAGAGCCUGAACCAGCCAAGUAGCGUGAAGGAUGAAGGCUCUAUGGGUCGUAAACUUCUUUUAUAUGGGAAUAAAGUUUUCCACGUGUGGAAUUUUGUAUGUACCAUAUGAAUAAGGAUCGGCUAACUCCGUGCCAGCAGCCGCGGUAAUACGGAGGAUCCGAGCGUUAUCCGGAUUUAUUGGGUUUAAAGGGAGCGUAGGUGGAUUGUUAAGUCAGUUGUGAAAGUUUGCGGCUCAACCGUAAAAUUGCAGUUGAAACUGGCAGUCUUGAGUACAGUAGAGGUGGGCGGAAUUCGUGGUGUAGCGGUGAAAUGCUUAGAUAUCACGAAGAACUCCGAUUGCGAAGGCAGCUCACUAGACUGUCACUGACACUGAUGCUCGAAAGUGUGGGUAUCAAACAGGAUUAGAUACCCUGGUAGUCCACACAGUAAACGAUGAAUACUCGCUGUUUGCGAUAUACAGUAAGCGGCCAAGCGAAAGCAUUAAGUAUUCCACCUGGGGAGUACGCCGGCAACGGUGAAACUCAAAGGAAUUGACGGGGGCCCGCACAAGCGGAGGAACAUGUGGUUUAAUUCGAUGAUACGCGAGGAACCUUACCCGGGCUUAAAUUGCAACAGAAUAUAUUGGAAACAGUAUAGCCGUAAGGCUGUUGUGAAGGUGCUGCAUGGUUGUCGUCAGCUCGUGCCGUGAGGUGUCGGCUUAAGUGCCAUAACGAGCGCAACCCUUAUCUUUAGUUACUAACAGGUCAUGCUGAGGACUCUAGAGAGACUGCCGUCGUAAGAUGUGAGGAAGGUGGGGAUGACGUCAAAUCAGCACGGCCCUUACGUCCGGGGCUACACACGUGUUACAAUGGGGGGUACAGAAGGCGGCUACCUGGUGACAGGAUGCUAAUCCCAAAAACCUCUCUCAGUUCGGAUCGAAGUCUGCAACCCGACUUCAUGAAGCUGGAUUCGCUAGUAAUCGCGCAUCAGCCAUGGCGCGGUGAAUACGUUCCCGGGCCU
rnacentral:rRNA from 1 species